AACGAACGCUGGCGGCAUGCCUAACACAUGCAAGUCGAACGAGACCUUCGGGUCUAGUGGCGCACGGGUGCGUAACGCGUGGGAACCUGCCCUUAGGUUCGGAAUAACUCCCCGAAAGGUGUGCUAAUACCGGUUAAUGUCUUCGGACCAAAGAUUUAUCGCCUUUGGAUGGGCCCGCGUUGGAUUAGCUAGUUGGUAGGGUAAAAGCCUACCAAGGCGACGAUCCAUAGCUGGUCUGAUAGGAUGAUCAGCCACACUGGGACUGAGACACGGCCCAGACUCGUACGGGAGGCAGCAGAGGGGAAUAUUAGACAAGGGGCGAAAGCCUGAUCCAGCAAUGUCGCGUGAGUGAUGAAGGCCUUAGGGUUGUAAAGCUCUUUUACCCGGGAUGAUAAUGACAGUACCGGGAGAAUAAGCUCCGGCUAACUCCGUG
rnacentral:rRNA from 1 species